GUCCUUAUUGCUACGUAAUCAUUUUGCAGGUUUGUGCAAACCUCAUUCUGGUUCUUGAAAUAUGUAAAAGAUCCUUGAAGCAUAAUUCUAUGCUUUUCCCCACAUUGAGUGAGUGAGAUGGAGCUCAGUUGGAUGUCACCUGCCCUGUUUAGGACAAAGAUCACACUCUGCCUUGAAACCCAGUAAUCAAAAAGAUCCUGGACGUGGGGUCAUCUUGUUCUCUCACCACAAGUCGAAUGGCAAGCUGGAGCCUAAAAGUGGCUGUGCCCAAGCUUUCAGUGCUUUUUCUCCUGGGAGAAACUUUGGAAUGAGCACAUCCUCUCAUGACUGAAGCUGUUAUUUAUUAAAGCAGAGAUGCAUUGAUGAAUUCAGCAGCAGUGGACCGAAGUUGAGCUCUGCUGCAGGAUGCUGAAGACCUUGUCAGAUGUGGGCAGCCAGUAGACAGCUGUAAGCCAACCCUUGACCUGAGAGCUC
rnacentral:lncRNA from 10 species